rnacentral:rRNA from 1 species
CUCGAGGCCAGAUCUAGAGUUUGAUCCUGGCUGAGGAUGAACGCUAGCGGGAGGCUUAAUACAUGCAAGUCGAGGGGUAACAGCUCCGACCUUUGGUUGGAGGCUGACGACCGGCGCACGGGUGAGUAACGCGUACACAACCUACCUUUAAGAAGGGCAUAGGCUCUGGAAACGGAGAUUAAUUCCCUAUAGUAUUGCUUUGUUAUAUGAUGGAGCAAUUAAAGCUACGGCGCUUAAAGAUGGGUGUGCGUCCCAUUAGCUAGUUGGUGAGGUAACGGCUCACCAAGGCGACGAUGGGUAGGGGGCGUGAGAGCGCGGCCCCCCACACGGGUACUGAGACACGGACCCGACUCCUACGGGAGGCAGCAGUAAGGAAUAUUGGACAAUGGGCGCAAGCCUGAUCCAGCCAUCCCGCGUGCAGGAUGACAGCCCUAUGGGUCGUAAACUGCUUUUGGAAGGGACGAAACCCCUGGAUUUAUCUGGGGCUGACGGUACCUUCAGAAUAAGCACCGGCUAACUCCGUGCCAGCAGCCGCGGUAAUACGGAGGGUGCAAGCGUUAUCCGGAAUCACUGGGUUUAAA